rnacentral:other from 17 species
AUGGGACGCUUCAAUACUGACAUGGUGUGAAGAGUCUAUUGAGCUAGUUGGUAGUCCUCCGGCCCCUGAAUGCGGCUAAUCCUAACUGCGGAGCGUGCGCUUGCAACCCAGUGAGUAGCACGUCGUAAUGGGUAACUCUGCAGCGGAACCGACUACUUUGGGUGUCCGUGUUUCCUUUAUUCCUUGUCUGGCUGCUUAUGGUGACAAUUGAGAGAUUGUUGCCAUAUAGCUAUUGGAUUGGCCAUCCGGUA